UAGGAAAAGUCUGAGUUC
rnacentral:piRNA from 1 species